rnacentral:rRNA from 1 species
GACGAACGCUGGCGGCGUGCCUAAUACAUGCAAGUCGAACGCACAGUUUAUACCGUAGCUUGCUACACCAUAGACUGUGAGUUGCGAACGGGUGAGUAACGCGUAGGUAACCUGCCUGGUAGCGGGGGAUAACUAUUGGAAACGAUAGCUAAUACCGCAUAAUAUUAAUUAUUGCAUGAUAAUUAAUUGAAAGGUGCAAUUGCACCACUACCAGAUGGACCUGCGUUGUAUUAGCUAGUAGGUGAGGUAACGGCUCACCUAGGCGACGAUACAUAGCCGACAUGAGAGGGUGAUCGGCCACACUGGGACUGAGACACGGCCCAGACUCCUACGGGAGGCAGCAGUAGGGAAUCUUCGGCAAUGGACGAAAGUCUGACCGAGCAACGCCGCGUGAGUGAAGAAGGUUGUCGGAUCGUAAAGCUCUGUUGUAAGAGAAGAACGGGUGUGAGAGUGGAAAGUUCACACUGUGACGGUAUCUUACCAGAAAGGGACGGCUAACUACGUG